rnacentral:rRNA from 1 species
AUUGAACGCUGGCGGCAGGCCUAACACAUGCAAGUCGAGCGGCAGCGGGAAAGUAGCUUGCUACUUUUGCCGGCGAGCGGCGGACGGGUGAGUAAUGCCUGGGGAUCUGCCCAGUCGAGGGGGAUAACUACUGGAAACGGUAGCUAAUACCGCAUACGCCCUACGGGGGAAAGCAGGGGACCUUCGGGCCUUGCGCGAUUGGAUGAACCCAGGUGGGAUUGCUAGUUGGUGAGGUAAUGACUCACCAGGGCGACGAUCCCUAGCUGGUCUGAGAGGAUGAUCAGCCACACUGGAACUGAGACACGGUCCAGACUCCUACGGGAGGCAGCAGUGGGGAAUAUUGCACAAUGGGGGAAACCCCGAUGCAGCCAUGCCGCGUGUGUGAAGAAGGCCUUCGGGUUGUAAAGCACUUUCAGCGAGGAGGAAAGGUUGGUAGCUAAUAACUGCCAGCUGUGACGUUACUCGCAGAAGAAGCACCGGCUAACUCCGUGCCAGCCGCCGCGGUAACAC